GUUUGCGCCGAUGGUACUGCUUUACUGUGGAAGAGUAGGUCACCGCCUUUU
rnacentral:rRNA from 1 species